rnacentral:rRNA from 1 species
GAACGCUGGCGGCGUGCCUAAUACAUGCAAGUCGAGCGAACAGAUAAGGAGCUUGCUCCUUUGACGUUAGCGGCGGACGGGUGAGUAACACGUGGGUAACCUACCUAUAAGACUGGGAUAACUUCGGGAAACCGGAGCUAAUACCGGAUAAUAUUUCGAACCGCAUGGUUCGAUAGUGAAAGAUGGUUUUGCUAUCACUUAUAGAUGGACCCGCGCCGUAUUAGCUAGUUGGUAAGGUAACGGCUUACCAAGGCGACGAUACGUAGCCGACCUGAGAGGGUGAUCGGCCACACUGGAACUGAGACACGGUCCAGACUCCUACGGGAGGCAGCAGUAGGGAAUCUUCCGCAAUGGGCGAAAGCCUGACGGAGCAACGCCGCGUGAGUGAUGAAGGUCUUCGGAUCGUAAAACUCUGUUAUUAGGGAAGAACAUACGUGUAAGUAACUGUGCACGUCUUGACGGUACCUAAUCAGAAAGCCACGGCUAACUACGUG